GAGGAAGUAAAAGUCGUAACAAGGUUUCUGUAGGUGAACCUGCAGAAGGAUCAUUAGUGAAUAAGAACAGGACGGCCGCCACUCGCUGGCGCCUCCGACCCUCAUCACCUUGAACCUCACACCUGUGCACCCGUCGUCGCCCUGGGCCGAGAGGCUCGUGGGCGGCGGCACAACCUAACACAAACCCGAGUCAUCUGUAUGUCUGUUAUGAAGCUUGCCCACACGGGCUUGAAUCUAAACACAACUUUCAACAACGGAUCUCUUGGUUCUCCCAUCGAUGAAGAACGCAGCGAAACGCGAUAUGUAAUGUGAAUUGCAGAAUUCAGUGAAUCAUCGAAUCUUUGAACGCACCUUGCGCUCCUUGGCAUUCCAAGGAGCAUGCCUGUUUGAGUGUCAUGAACACUUCACACCCCACCCUUUCUCUCGGGAAGGCGGUGCCUGGGUCGUGGUUCUGGACGAACGCCUCGCCUCUCGGCCUGGCCCGUCCGAAAUACAUUAGCUGGACCUGCCUCGGAUGGCCUGGGUCCCUGAUCAGCGUGAUAAGUCAUUAGCUGAGAGGGGUGCCCGACCACGGCCCGACCCGGUGGACCUCCGCUUCCAACCCUCCCUCAGGGAGACUUUCUUAUGACUCUGGCCUCAAAUCAGGUAGGACUACCCGCUGAACUUAAGCAUAUCA
rnacentral:rRNA from 1 species